CAGAAUCCCUUGAAAUACUCAGAAAACUGAAGGAGUUAGGUGGGAGUGAAAACAGGAGAGAUGAAUUGUAGAAGCUAUGGGAGGAUGGGGUUUAAAGAAGAGAAUGAUUUGGUUUUCAAGAAGUAGACAACAGCAUUAACUAUGAAAAAUGUCUACAGGCUUAAACACAUAUAUAGAAGUUUUAAUGUCUUCAAAAACCAUCUUGUGGAACAGGGUGUAACAAUUUAUCAAGAUUCAAGACACAAGUUUGACUAAAGGAUCACUAUCAGCUCUGGAGAUGACUGCUUUCAAAGCUGAAACUGCAUUAAAUAUGUCAGCUAAUUUCAAAACCAGCAUGAAAGAGUUGAAGGUUAUGAAGCAACAGAUAGCUGAACCAGAGGUUGAGACAAUGCUCAGGAAAAGCUCCCCUACCAAGCAUCUAUUGAAUCAAAUCUGUGAUGUUCCUCAGUCAAUGCAGAGAGACAUACCAGUAGAAAAAAUGCCUACUUUGACUGGACAAGAGGAUAGUGAGAAUGACAUUGUUCUCAUGGAGCAGCCUCAAAAGGCUGGGAUUAAAUACACUGCUGUCCCAAGAAGAAAGGAAACAAAGAAAUCAAAGAAAAGAAUAAGCCCUAGAAAAUUAGAA